UACGUAGGUGGCAAGCGUUGUCCGGAUUUAUUGGGUUUAAAGGGUGCGUAGGCGGCCCUGUAAGUCAGUGCUGAAAUAUCCCAGCUUAACUGGGAGGGUGGCAUUGAUACUGCGGGGCUAGAGUACAGAUGAGGUAGGCGGAAUUGACGGUGUAGCAGUGAAAUGCGUAGAUAUCGUGAGGAACACCAGUGGCGAAGGCGACACGCUGGGCCGUACCUGACACUGAUGCGCGACAGCAUGGGGAGCAAACAGG
rnacentral:rRNA from 1 species